GUGGAUUAGAUACCCUGGUAGUCCACGCCGUAAACGAUGAGUGCUAGGUGUUAGGGGUUUCGAUACCCUUGGUGCCGAAGUUAACACAGUAAGCACUCCGCCUGGGGAGUACGGUCGCAAGACUGAAACUCAAAGGAAUUGACGGGGACCCGCACAAGCAGUGGAGUAUGUGGUUUAAUUCGAAGCAACGCGAAGAACCUUACCAGGUCUUGACAUCCCAAUGAAAGCAUUAGAGAUAGUGCCCCUCUUCGGAGCAUUGGAGACAGGUGGUGCACGGUUGUCGUCAACU
rnacentral:rRNA from 1 species